rnacentral:rRNA from 1 species
CAGUAGCCACGGGAAUACAGAGGGUGCGAGCGUUAAUCGGAUUUACUGGGCGUAAAGCGUGCGUAGGCGGCUUUUUAAGUCGGAUGUGAAAUCCCUGAGCUUAACUUAGGAAUUGCAUUCGAUACUGGGAAGCUAGAGUAUGGGAGAGGAUGGUAGAAUUCCAGGUGUAGCGGUGAAAUGCGUAGAGAUCUGGAGGAAUACCGAUGGCGAAGGAAGCCAUCUGGCCUAAUACUGACGCUGAGGUACGAAAGCAUGGGGAGCAAACAGGAUUAGAUACCCCCGUAGUCCCUGUCUCUUAUAC